GCACUAGGAGCCGAUGAAGGACGGUACUAACACCGAUAUGCUUCGGGGAGCUGUAAGUAAGCUUUGAUCCGGAGAUUUCCGAAUGGGGAAACCCCCUAUCCGUAAUGGGAUAGGAUCUUUACCUGAAUACAUAGGGUAUAGAAGGCAGACCCGGGGAACUGAAACAUCUAAGUACCCGGAGGAAGAGAAAGCAAACGCGAUUCCCUGAGUAGCGGCGAGCGAAACGGGAUUAGCCCAAACCAAGAGGCUUGCCUCUUGGGGUUGUAGGACACUCUACACGGAGUUACAAAGGAACGAGGUAAAUGAACAGGUCUGGAAAGGCCGGCCAGAGAAGGUAAAAGCCCUGUAGUUGAAACUUCGUUCCCUCCAGAGUGGAUCCUGAGUACGGCGGGACACGAGAAAUCCCGUCGGAAGCAGGGAGGACCAUCUCCCAAGGCUAAAUACUCCCUAGUGACCGAUAGUGAACCAGUACCGUGAGGGAAAGGUGAAAAGCACCCCGGAAGGGGAGUGAAAGAGAUCCUGAAACCGUGUGCCUACAAGUAGUUAGAGCCCGUUAAUGGGUGAUAGCGUGCCUUUUGUAGAAUGAACCGGCGAGUUACGAUUACAUGCGAGGUUAAGUUGAUGAGACGGAGCCGCAGCGAAAGCGAGUCUGAAUAGGGCGAAUGAGUAUGUGGUCGUAGACCCGAAACCAGGUGAUCUACCCAUGUCCAGGGUGAAGUCCAGGUAACACUGGAUGGAGGCCCGAACCCACGCACGUUGAAAAGUGCGGGGAUGAGGUGUGGGUAGCGGAGAAAUUCCAAUCGAACUUGGAGAUAGCUGGUUCUCUCCGAAAUAGCUUUAGGGCUAGCCUCAUGUAGUAAGAGUCUUGGAGGUAGAGCACUGUUUGGACUAGGGGCCCCCAUCGGGUUACCGAAUUCAGACAAACUCCGAAUGCCAAAGACUUAUCCAUGGGAGUCAGACUGCGAGUGAUAAGAUCCGUAGUCAAGAGGGAAACAGCCCAGACCACCAGCUAAGGUCCCAAAGUAUACGUUAAGUGGAAAAGGAUGUGGAGUUGCUUAGACAACCAGGAUGUUGGCUUAGAAGCAGCCACCAUUUAAAGAGUGCGUAAUAGCUCACUGGUCGAGUGACUCCGCGCCGAAAAUGUACCGG
rnacentral:rRNA from 1 species